AUUGAACGCUGGCGGCAGGCCUAACACAUGCAAGUCGAGCGGAGCGGCGGACGGGGGAGUAAUGCCUAGGAAGCGGCCUGGUAGUGGGGGAUAACGUCCGGAAAGGGGCGCUAAGACAGCAUACGAGCAGAUGAGCCGAGGUCGGAGUAGCUAGUGGGUGGGGUAAAGGCCUACCAAGGCGCCGAUCCGUAACUGGUCUGAGAGGAUGAUCAGUCACACGGGAACUGAGACACGGUCCAGACUCCUACGGGAGGCAGCAGUGGGGAAUAUUGGACAAUGGGCGAAAGCCUGAUCCAGCCAUGCCGCGUGUGUGAAGAAGGUCUUCGGAUUGUAAAGCACUUUAAGUUGGGAGGCGUUCCCAACAGAAUAAGCACCGGCUAACUUCGUGCCAGCCGCCGCGGUAAUAC
rnacentral:rRNA from 1 species